GACGAACGCUGGCGGCGUGCUUAACACAUGCAAGUCGAACGGAAAGACCCUGCUUUUGUGGGGUGCUCGAGUGGCGAACGGGUGAGUAACACGUGAGUAACCUGCCCUUGACUUUGGGAUAACUUCAGGAAACUGGGGCUAAUACCGGAUAGGAGCUCCUGCUGCAUGGUGGGGGUUGGAAAGUUUCGGCGGUUGGGGAUGGACUCGCGGCUUAUCAGCUUGUUGGUGGGGUAGUGGCUUACCAAGGCUUUGACGGGUAGCCGGCCUGAGAGGGUGACCGGCCACAUUGGGACUGAGAUACGGCCCAGACUCCUACGGGGGGCAGCAGGGGGGAAUAUUGCACAAGGGGCGGAAGCCGGAUGCAGCAACGCCGGGGGGGGGAUGACGGCCUUCGGGUUGUAAACCGCUUUCCCCUGUGACGAAGGGUGAGGGACGGGAAUGGGUAAAGAAGCACCGGCUAACUACGG
rnacentral:rRNA from 1 species